GAUGAACGCUGGCGGCGUGCCUAAUAUAUGCAAGUCGAACGCUGGAGAUCUAGCUUGCUAGAUCGAAGGAGUGGCGAACGGGUGAGUAAUACAUAAGCAACCUACCCACGAAGACUGGGAUAAUCUCUGGAAACGGGGACUAAUACCGGAUAGGUAAUCGGAAGGCAUCUUCUGGUUAUUAAAGGUUAAAAACACUGGUGGAUGGGCUUAUGGCGCAUUAGUUAGUUGGUGAGGUAACGGCCCACCAAGACGAUGAUGCGUAGCCGGCCUGAGAGGGUGAACGGCCACAUUGGGACUGAGACACGGCCCAGACUCCUACGGGAGGCAGCAGUAGGGAAUUUUCGGCAAUGGGGGCAACCCUGACCGAGCAACGCCGCGUGAGUGAAGACGGCCUUCGGGGUGUAAAGCUCUGUUGUAAGGGAAGAACGGUAGAUAGAGAAUAUCUAAGUGACGGUACCUUACCAGAAAGCCACGGCUAACUACGUG
rnacentral:rRNA from 1 species